rnacentral:misc_RNA from 1 species
UUCACCAGCACACACCGACCGGUACGAAUACCGCGACAAGGAAGCGUAGAUGUACACUCGUUUUCUCGGGCCCUGGUCCGGGAAUAUAUAUGGACCCCUUGCACCCCAGGAUGACAUAGCAGAGUCGACUGCACGCCGCACCGCAGCAGCGCAGAGAGCAGUUAGGUGUGCAUCUGCAGUUUCGCGCGCGUUAAGGAAAACCAGCUUGCGCCCAUGAUCUUGAGGCAUAUCUGUCCCGGCUCCAUUUGCGGCGCUGAUGCUUUGGCGGCAAAUCGGGCAUGCGUUUUUUCGCGUCCUUAUGGCCAUUUACCGGGUACUUCCACAUUUGGGGCUAGCGCUGCUUGUGUAGCCGCUACCUGUCAAGCGCACAAAAUUGUAUCAGCCCCACACUGGCCGGGCGAAGAGAGAAAACCAGAGUAACGCCGAACCGAGGCACCACAUCAUCGUAAACAAGGACGCACGAUGACAGCCGAGAAGCACGAUAUGUUCUCAGCAACGUUAAUGCAGACGCCCUGUUCGCACGGGUCGUGUGAGGUCAAAGGGUUGUGAGGGAUACUUUCGAGGGAGGUGUUUUGUUUGUGAUGCUCGCCCCCGACCAUCGGGCAUGCAGUUUCCCAGUAUAGGAGAACUAUGCGCGUUCGCUUGCCGCAGCCCUUUGUCCCUCGACAGCAACCUUGCCCUGAUCACGCUGCGUGAUGUGAACAUGCUGGCCGCCCCUACGCGCACAACAGCUCGUCCUUAAAACCCUUUUGCUCGGCGAUGGCGGCUUAAAGGUAGAAGGCCACAAACGCCAUAACCUUGGAAGCCACCACGGCAGGGCACGCACCCGCCGACAACGGUUGCUUGCGGCAGUGGUGGUUACUGCGGCGAGCUCGAAAUACGAGUGUAUCAUGUAGCGCUUUCGCCACGGGAACGACGCUGGAGUAGGCUACAAAGCCUAUCGGAAGGACGCAGAGGGCAUAGCAAUUUUGUUCCAGACACCAUGGCCACACAUCGCGGCGGCAACCCGGAGCGCCGCACAGCGGAAUGCUGGCACCAUGGGAAGGGCAAACGGAGGCGUAUCUCACCUGCAGCCCGCGAAGUGUACGACCACCCUUGCCCCAGAGUUUUGUGGGCGAAGGAUAGCGCCUAAUAAGAGCAUGUGCUUGCACACCCGCCUCCGCAGGUGACGCAUCAAGGGGCGUGUGUGCACGCGAACAGCCCCGCUGAUUUGCAGCGCGCUUACUGUAAUUUAGAGGUGGGUGUUGACGUGCCGGGUGUGUGUGCUGACCCCCCCGCUGUGUCACCUUCAUGGUCGGGAACGGAUAAGAAUAGCAACAUUGAACCCGGAACCUGGCGUGUGCACGGUGCUUACUAACACCGGAAGUACUUAGAUUUUCGUUAACGUAUUCUCUUCGUUGCGUUUUAGCGUUUGACUUGCACCUGGUAGGGCUGCACUGUGCUGGACGGCUAGGCAGGUAUUUAUUUCGUGGUGCAGGGGAGCUGUGUUUGAAGUGGGCCCCUUUCGGUUACCCUUUGCUUGGAAAACGUGGUGUAUAAGAAAGGUCCCGCUGCCUUUCUUCUUCAUGUUUGGGUGGAUUCUCUCUCCAUGUGGAUAGUGCGCGGUGGUCGAUGGUAGCUCCUCCGGGCGUGAAUAUAAUUAUGAUUGAUGCUCUUGAUUUGAAAAGGCAAGAAUAACGAUGGCCUAGCUCUCAAUAAAGUGUCCCUUUCAUUUUUAUCCUCCUCUGCUUUGAUCUUUUCACUUCAUUUUUCGCAG